rnacentral:lncRNA from 1 species
UCAACGCAGCAUGUAGUAACAAGGAGAAACCCAACAAAAUCGCAACAGACGGAUGAUGCCUUGGCUAGUUGACUGGGAAAAUGAGAUAGCUUCUGGAACGGACUUCAACUUGAAUUCCUGAAAUCAUAAGUUCGAUGUGCGCAAUGUCAAGAAACCACAAUUGGUCAUGGGUUCUCUUGCAUUUUCUCAUGGAAGUGAAGAAACGAAAAAAGUGAAGCAACGGAACUGUCUUCCCACGAGAAAUGUUCAAUGACUGGGAAAAAGGUUCUAGGAC